rnacentral:lncRNA from 1 species
GUGGGCGAAACGCGCGUCUGGCGUAUUAAAUUUUAAACCUGGCAUCUUUUGUUAGCUAUUAUUCGUUUGUUUCUCUGUCCUAUAUGUUCUCCAAACUAUUUGUAUUGUACUUUCAUGUAAUGUUGUCAUUUUAAUGUAAUAUUUAACAUUGCCAUAAAAGCGGGAGGUCUGGCAUGCCACAAAACCAGGUUCAAUCCACCAUUUUUUAUU